rnacentral:rRNA from 1 species
UGGGGAAUAUUGGACAAUGGGCGAAAGCCUGAUCCAGCCAUGCCGCGUGUGUGAAGAAGGUCUUCGGAUUGUAAAGCACUUUAAGUUGGGAGGAAGGGCAGUAAGUUAAUACCUUGCUGUUUUGACGUUACCGACAGAAUAAGCACCGGCUAACUCUGUGCCAGCAGCCGCGGUAAUACAGAGGGUGCAAGCGUUAAUCGGAAUUACUGGGCGUAAAGCGCGCGUAGGUGGUUCGUUAAGUUGGAUGUGAAAGCCCCGGGCUCAAACUGGGAACUGCAUCCAAAACUGGCGAGCUAGAGUAUGGUAGAGGGUGGUGGAAUUUCCUGUGUAGCGGUGAAAUGCGUAGAUAUAGGAAGGAACACCAGUGGCGAAGGCGACCACCUGGACUGAUACUGACACUGAGGUGCGAAAGCGUGGGGAGCAAACAG